rnacentral:rRNA from 1 species
GACGUAGGGCGCGAGCGUUGUCCGGAUUUAUUGGGCGUAAAGAGCUCGUAGGCGGCUCAUUGCGUCAACCGUGAAAACCAGCAGCUCAACUGUUGGCUUGCGGUUGAUACGGGUGGGCUGGAGUUCGGUAGGGGAGACUGGAAUUCCUGGUGUAGCGGUGAAAUGCGCAGAUAUCAGGAGGAACACCGGUGGCGAAGGCGGGUCUCUGGGCCGAUACUGACGCUGAGGAGCGAAAGCGUGGGUAGCAAACAGG